AACUGGUUUGACUCAGCCCCUUCUGACCCCAAAUCGGAUUUAAAACUGGUUUUACUCUGCCCCCUGAAAUGGGGCUUGAAACUGGUUUUGGAGGCUCGGAACCCUCCCAGGUUUGGUUUAGAGCUGCUUUUGGAGGCGCUGGAAGCUGCGGGGCAGGGCCGGGCCCGGCUCAGGCGGGGUUUAGCCGGGCUCGGCUCAGGGCCCGGCACCGCCCCGUCCAUUCCCGGCAGAAAUCCUCGAGCCGCGCUCGGCGCUGCGGGGAACCGGGAUCGGGGCAAGCGCGGGCAUCCCGGGCCGGCCUGGGGGGACAGAGCCAGCCCGCACCCCAAAACUGAUCCCAAAACACAAAUCCCAAAACACAGAUCCCAAAAAGAUCUAAAAAACAGAUCCCAAAACCAGAUCACUCACACCCCAAAAAACAGAUCCCAAAAAAGAUCUAGAAAAACAGAUCCCAAAAACCAGAUCCCUCACACCCCAAAAAACAGAUCCUUCACAUCCCAAAACAAUUCCUCCCACCCCAAGAAACAAAUCCCAAAAAACAACUGUCACACCCCAAUAAACAAACCCCUCACAUCCCAAAAAACAAACGCCAAGAAACACUCCUCACACCCCAGAAAACCAGAUCCCAUACAACAAAUUAGUCACACCCCAAAAACCAAAUCCCUCAAAUCCCAAAAAACAAACCCCUCAUGUCCCCCCCAAAAAAUCCCUCACGCCCUAAAAAACCCCCUAAAAAACCAAUCCCUCAAAACAAAUCCUUCACAUCCCCAAACCCAAAUUCUUCACGCCCCAAAAAACAAAUCCCCAAAACCAAACCUUUCACACCCCAAAAUUAAACCCCUCACACAAAUCCCUAAAAACAAAUCCCAAACCCCAAAUUCCUUGCAUCCCAAAAAAACCAAACCGUCAAAACCAAACCCCAAACCUCUCACACCCAAAAAACAAUUCCCAAAACCAGAUCCUUCACAUCCCAAAAUCCAAAUUCCUCAAACACUAAAAAACAAAUCCCAAAACCCAAACCUCUCACACUCCAAUAAACAAAUCCCUAAAAACAACCCCAAAAAUCAAACCCCAAACCUCUCACACCCCAAAAACCAAAUCCUAAACCCCAAAUUCCUUACAUCCCAAAACACAAACCCCAAAAAGCAUAUCCCAAAAAACAAUCCCAAACCCCAAAUGCCUCACACCCCCCGAGAAAACCCCAAAAACCAAACCCCAAAUUCCUCACACCCCAAAAGCUCCGCGGGGGGAAGCGAAACCUCCCGAGCCCGGCAGGAGCAGGUGGAGCUUCCCGAAGUUUUUCCUUUUUUCGGUUUUUCCCUAAAAAUCCCCGCAGCCCCCGGCGCUGUCACGGGGCAGGAGGGCGCGGGUUCCCCAUCCCAAACCCCAAAUCCCAAACCCCAGAUCCCAGAUCCCAAAUCGCAGCUCCUGCCGCGGCUCCGGCUCCUCGCGGCUUCCCGGAGGAGUUUCCAUCAACUCCCAGAAAAGGAGGAGGAAAAAAACAGGAGGAAAAAAAAAAAAAAAAAAGGGAAAAAAGGAGGAGCUGCAGGCGCCGCUCCACGAUCCCAUGAAAUUCCCCGAUAA
rnacentral:lncRNA from 1 species